UGCAUUUGACACUGGCAGAUCAAGAAUGUCACAUGCCAAAUACUCAUAUGAACAAUAUAUAAACAACAACAAGCAUUAGUGCCCGUGACUUUUCAGAGAUAAUGACCAGCUGCUCUUCCAGCAACAUCAGCCAACUCCCUCAGCACCCUUGGGUACAUGCAUUUGACCUCAUGGACACAUCCAGCUUUUCCAAAUACUUCCUAACCUGUUCUUUUGCAACUGUUGGCUGCCUACCUCUUCUGCAAACUGUGCUGCCAGAUACAGUAAUCUGCAAGCAGACCCUGCCUGUGAAGACUGAGGAGGACCGGGGGGAGGCAGGGGAAGAGGACCAUGCACAGGUGCACUUGCACCUGCCUUUGAUUCCUGGUUCAUCCAAAGAUUAAAACCAACUACUUGGCAGUGGCAGCAGAAUGCCUAAAGGAAAGUGCUGAGGAAGUCAAUUGACUUCAUGGC